ACCCGCACAAGCAGCGGAGCGUGUGGUUAAUUCGAUGCUACACGAAGAACCUUACCAGGGUUUGACAUGCAAGUGGUAGGAAUCUGAAAGGGACCGACCCUUCGGGAGCUUGCACAGGUGCUGCAUGGCUGUCGUCAGCUCGUGUCGUGAGAUGUUCGGUUAAGUCCGCUAACGAGCGCAACCCUCACUGUGUGUUAUAUGUGUCACACGGGACUGCCGGUUUUAAGCCGGAGGAAGGUGGGGAUGACGUCAAGUCAGCAUGGCCUUUAUGUCUAGGGCUACACACGUGCUACAAUGGGUGGUACAAAGAGCAGCUAACUCGCGAGAGCAUGCAAAUCUCAAAAAGCCAUCCUCAGUUCGGAUUGGAGUCUGCAACUCGACUCCAUGAAGUUGGAAUCGCUAGUAAUCGUAGAUCAGCACGCUACGGUGAAUACGUUCCCGGGCCUU
rnacentral:rRNA from 1 species